UACGUAGGGGGCAAGCGUUGUCCGGAUUUAUUGGGCGUAAAGAGCGUGUAGGCGGUUAGGUAGGUCCGUUGUGAAAACUCGAGGCUCAACCUCGAGACGCCGAUGGAAACCAUCUGACUAGAGUCCGGAAGAGGAGAGUGGAAUUCCUGGUGUAGCGGUGAAAUGCGCAGAUAUCAGGAAGAACACCCGUGGCUAAGGCGGCUCUCUAGUACGUGACUGACGCUGAGACGCGAAAGCGUGGGGAGCGAACAGG
rnacentral:rRNA from 2 species